rnacentral:rRNA from 1 species
CGGUUAAAAAGCUCGUAGUUGGAUUUCUGUCAAAGGGUGAUCCUCCGCCCCUUGUGGUGAGUAGUGAUCAUACCGUUGGCAUCUUCUUGGGGAGUGUAUCUGCACUUCAUUGUGUGGUGCACAAGCCAGGACUUUUACUUUGAGGAAAUGAGAGUGUUUCAAGCAGGCGUCCGCCGUGAAUACGUUAGCAUGGAAUAAUAGCAUCGGACCUCGUUCCAAAGCUGUUGGUUUCUUGGGGCGAGGUAAAGGUGAAUAGGGAUUGUUGGGGGCAUUCGUAUUUAACUGUCAGAGGUGAAAUUCUUGGAUUUGUUGAAGACGGACUACUGCGAAAGCAUCUGCCAAAGAUGUUCUCAUUGAUCAAGAACGAAAGUUAGGUGAUCGAAGACGAUCAGAUACCGUCCUAGUCUUAACCAUAAACUAUGCCGACUGGAGAUAGGAGGUCGUUAAACUUAUGACGCCUUCUGCAUCUUGAGAGAAAUCAAAGUCUUUGGGUUCCGGGGGGAGUAUGGUCGCAAGGCUGAAACUUAAAGGAAUUGACGGAAGGGCACCACCAGGAGUGGAGCCUGCGGCUUAAUUUGACUCAGCACGGGGAAACUUACCAGGUCCAGACAUAGUGAG